CUCACAGCGCCAGGCCGGGCAGCAGCAGCAGCAGCAGGAGCUGUGUCGGUGCUGAGCUGAGCGGGACCCUGCGGGGAGAGGCGGCUGCGGACACCGGGUGCUAAGAGUGCCGGCUGCUCGCUGUCCCCGGCCCCCGCCAGGACGUGACGGUGGCACAGUCGCAGGGACAUGGCUGGUUUGGCUCUGCCAGUGGUCAGAAAAGAUGUUGUUUGUCUGAAGAGACAAGGGUGUGGUGAAAAUACUCCGUGCCAGCCAAGUGAACCAAAACACUAUCUGAAUUACUAAGCAGGCUGGAAAAUAAAAUUUAACUGACAGAAGAUCUGGACCCCACCUGUGCUGAGAGACAGAAAAAGAGUCACAGAAAUUGCCAUGUACAGUUGGAGCAUCUGCACAAUGAAAUCACCCUGAAUGAAUGGACACUCAGAUGUCUUUACUUCCAGCAGAGAAGACAGACCUCUCAGGCUGAAUUAGGCCAUUUGGAGAGGUUUACCAAAAUCUCUGUGGGUUACAGACACAAGACUUUUCUCUCACACUGGUCUUGACUAAGCACUUGAUUUGGAACUCAAUUUAUCCAUAAGCUGGGGAGGACCUGAAUUGGCUCCAGCUGUUCUGAAAGAGAGAAGAAGCAGCACAACAGCUCUAACAAAAAUGGUACAUUCAAGGAGAAGCUUCAGGAACCAGGACCCAUGAUGCUGCUAUGAAAGACGACUGACUUCAAGGCCUUUGAAGAAGAAAAUAGAAAUUUUGUUGUUCAGGUUUUUCCUUUACAGGGGUUCCUUUAGCCACACAAGUAGGCAGCGAGCGCCUUGGUUGCAACUGGAAAGGGGGAGACUGAAUGACAGUGCCAAAUGCCCCAAGUUAACAGAGUGAGAAAAGCCUGACUGCCAACUGCCUUCCAUGCCUUCCAAAUCUUGGACCAGCAAGAAAUGAAGACAUGGUUUAGGUCAGUGUGCAGGUACAGAGCAUGCUUCACCUCCCAUGAACUGGGGAUGGGGAAGCAAAGGGAGGAGUGCUGCAGAGCUGCUGAUUGUCUGCUCUCUGAAGACUUCCUGUUAGGGAGAAUCCUCAGUUGUCCAUUUAGGGCAGUAUUAGAGCUGCUCAGAGCUGCUGAGGCAUGCAGAGGAGCUGCAGAUGGGGCUGAGAGUACAGCUUGAUACUUCUCUGUUCAGCCACCAGUUACAGCAUUAUCAAAUGCUCACCAGAGGUGGGUACCAAGACUGCUAGAAUGGCUGAAGGCAAAGCAGGAGGUCUGCUUUUAAUGAAAAGGUAGUUUACACACAGCAUUUUUCUUAUUAUAAUGAUAAAAUGGACAUGAAUCAGUUGUACUCCAGACCCUCACUUUUUUUUAGUGCUGUUUAUUUUUUUUCAGGACACUGAAAACAAAACAAGCAAAAAGAGAGUGGGGGGGUAAAGGAAAAAGAAAACUCCCUUCAGACAACAAUCACCUUUUGAGUUAAAUUCUCAUGCUUGGUCUUAGCCCAGAGGGAUUUGUCUUGAGUGAAGUUCGAAGAAAAUCCUUUCAGCAGUUUCUGAGUUACUUCAAUGUAACCAUGGAGGUUUGGAUUCAGAUGCUUUUUUACUUAUAUAAGUCAAAAAUAGCUUUGCUUUAAAACUUUUAAAUUAACCCUCCUUAACUUUUCAACUUGUCACCUAUCCUACUGUAUGGCUUAUAAAAUUUUAAAGCUAAUAGUAUAACAAACUCAAAUAAUGAUACUGCAGAUGUUCAAAUGAAUCUUGGGAGAAAUAAAUUAUAGGAGUUACAGUGGGUUGUUACUGAAGAAAGAAUGGCUGCAUGCCUUAAACCAUGUGCUCUUUCUGGUCUGAAAAAGGCCCAAUUUUUUCUGCUGUUAAGAAGCAUAAGUGUUCUUGGGUGUAGAUUUUAAUACUCAGUUACACAUACAAAAUUAAGCAUGUAAGUCCUGUUCUUUUUUUCUUCCUGAUAGCCCUGAUUUAGACUUGUCAAAACAUUCUCUUAAAUUUUCCUGGUCUCUUUUUAACAUAAUCCAAAUCAACAGGACACUUAAAUGUCUCCUAAAUAUUUAUGGACUUCAAAGUCACCGAAAUGCUCUGUGAUUCUCUUACUGUUAUUAUUUUAUUGCCAGAAGAUCGAGGCAAUGAGAGGUGAAGUGUCUUGGUAAGUAAUGCUUUUUUCCAUUUUCUUUGUCCAAUCUUCCUGUUGCUCUCUGAUGUUUCUUCCUCUUUGUCUUCUUUCCAACAUUUCUGCCUCACUUACUGGUCCCAUUCUCACUCGUCUCCUAUCUGUCUUUCAACCAUCUUUCUCCAUUUAUUCUUCUCCAACAAUUGCACUGAAGAGAGAGCCUGUGAUAGAAAUUAUUUUUACUUUGGCAGCAGCUUUUUACUUUUAUCUUUUCCCUGAACGUCUGGGAUGGGUCCAGGCAGCUCUCCCCACUUUCAUCAUCUCUCUUCACAUCCCUCGUGACCCUGAGCUCUAGUCAGCAAUCUGAUGUCUGCCAUGAGAGCACCUCCCACGAUCCAAAGCCACAAUCAGACGGAGGUGUUGUAACACCGUGUGUUGCUUUACCGACUUACCGCGCUUGCUCUGCCGCUUUCUAGGAACUGCACACCUGUGCCAGAUUUUUCUCACAGAAUAAUAAUGACAGCACUGUCGCCUUUUGCACGUCUCUCCUCCUUGCUCCUGUGCCCAUCUUCCUCUCCUGAGCUUUGUGGUUCAAUCUCCUGGCUGGUGCAGUUUAGCCAGGAUACGGGAGACUUGUAUUUAGGCUCUGCCUGAGGCAAUUUGAACUAGAAUCUCUUGCCCCCUGAAUUUGCACCCUACCCGAGAUUAUCAACUCUUCUGUGAGGAGAGUGACCUGAGUGGGAAAGCUUGAGCUUGACUUUUCAGUCUUGUAGUGGGGACACUCACCUGGGUGGGGAAACCAGGACCUGCCCCAGUCAAUACUUAAAACCAAGUAUGGAGGUAUUCCCUGGAAGACAGUAGCAAACCCUAGGUUUUUUGCUCUCAGUAGUGCUUUGAGAGCAAGCACACAGAACAAUCAAUUUAAUCCAUUUAAUUAUUCCAUACAAACUGGAACAGCUCCAACAGGAUGGACUGGAGAAAGACCCUGCUCAACAAGAUCCUUAUAAAAUUGUGCUGAUCUCGUUUGGCUGCCAUGGGUGAGCUCCCUCAUACCUCAGAGCAGCCAUGGAGCUGCCUCAGCACCAUGGGACUGAGUGGUGAGGACAUGUGUGGAGACUGGAGGGGAGGGAAGGCAAUGUGUUCCUGAACAUACUCUAUUAUUCAUGGUGCAGGUUUGUAGUUGUAGCUGAAACAAACACCUGCCAGUGUUACCAUUCUGGACAGGAGUGGCAGCAAAUAUGUGGUGGAGGGAAAAGAAUUCUAUUAAAAGACAGGGCAGCAUGCUGGAGCACUAUAAGGCAAAUUGCUUUUAAAGGUGGAAAUACAAUAAAAAUAGACUAAAGAGUCUUAAAAUACAAAAUCAAUGCCAAAACAGAGAAAGCCAGAAUGACUUCCAGAUCUCAGCUAUAGGCAGUUGUCCCCCAACAUAAGCCAGAUCCUGUCAGUGUGUGGGAGACAUCCAGGAAUUUUCUCUCCUACAAAAAUAUUAGGGAGAUUGUAUGUUUUAACUGUAAUGGAAAACUAGAGCUCUAUUUCUCAGUUCCAAAGAAGAGCACUAACCAUUGGAAGUGAUGUGGUACAGGGGGUGUGUGUGUGUGUGUGUGUGUGUGCGUGUGGCUGCUCCCUUUCUCCUCAGGAUUCUAUAGCUUCCUUCAUUCUUCGCUUCUCUCAUAUUACAGAAAGAAGGUAAUUUUUCCUGGCCAUUUACUAAAGCUCAUUAAAGACUGAAGAGAACAAACAAUGCUAUUCCUUAGAGACUACCAUUCAAAGUCAUUCUACAAUUCUCUGUUCUAAUACUUGAGAGAAAUUAAUUAUUCCUUAGUGAAAAGUGUAUAAUUCCUAUUCUUCAUUUUUGGGGUGGGGAGUGGGGAAUAAUAAUAGGAAGUUUAUAUCUGAGUCAAAAGCUGUCUGAGCUGAAGGGAAAUGAGAAAAAAUGUGUGUUCCAAGAAGAGUAAAAGCAAUUAUUCUAAUAAUAAUUCUAGGGAUAUUAAUGUCUUUUUAAAGUAGAUUGCUUUCAAAUAAACACCAAAGUUGAAGGCAUAGGAAAAGCUGGUUUAUUUAUUAAUCAUUCCAAAAGUGCAUUUUUCUAAAUGAACAAGUGCAAGAGCAACUUCGCUGGCACAUAUUAAAUUUAGUUAAACGGCAACUUGUAAAUAUCUAAAAACUUCUGUAACCAGAGACUAAUUUGUUUAACGUGUUGAAAAUGUUCUGUGGAUGUGAGGAGCUACAUAUUAAACUUCAAAGCAAAAUGCUCCAGAGAUUACACCAUCUUAAAGACUGCAUAUUGGAAAGGCCUUUAUACAUUAAACAUAAAGGACUUUUAAUUCUCUUCUAUUUUGAAUACUUGUCAAUCUGUGUGACUCAUGCUUAAGAUUGUAAACUGUCAUUUUAAGGUGUGAUGUCCAAGUUGAGACCUGGACCAUGAUUUGCAAGGGGCUGGCUUUUCUCUUUCAUCUCUAUUAAUUAAUCCUGUUUCAGUUUGCCCAGCGCACACUUCUGUUGACAUCACCUUUUCCAUAUACUUUAAAGAGUCCCCAGAGAGAUCUACUGCAGAACAAAAACUGGACAGAGAAUACAUUUGGAAACCAUUUUAUUUCUCAAUUACCAACCAAAACGUAUGGAAAAGAUUUACACUCUAUCUGAUUUACACAAUAAUUAUACUUUGAAAGCCUAGAAAUAAAUGGCUUGAUCCCUGAAAUCAUUAGUUACUAUACCAAAUGUAAUUGGUGUAAACUAAUGAGUUUACUGGAUGGCUGACCCUUAAUUACUGAUUAUAGUUAAACUCUAGCCAAUCAAAAUUUCGUUUACUUAUAAAAGUACAGUGUAGUAUUAACAAGCAUUACAUUUCCAAGCAAGCAGCUUUAUGAUUAGUUGUAGCACACAGCUCAAGCCUGUUCAGGGCUAUCAAAAGCAGCUUUUUAAUAACAGUGCACUAAGCAACCAUCAUUCUCUUACCUCAGCUUCUAUCAGACAAACAGAAAGAAACCACAUAAUUAAUCAUCUCAUGCAAUAGAAAUAAAGCAUCUGGGCCAGAUCCAGGUGGGAUAUACACGGCUGCCUUAGUUCAAAGAGCUGCAAGAGGCUGGGGAUCUGCCUUAUGAUAGGAUAACUGACAUGGGGAAUACUGCCUCUCUUGGGGGAGCAGUAUGGGGUAUGGAAAUGAAAUACUGAUUGAUUGUGUGCACUCCCAUGUGAGGUGGAGUAACCUAUCAACAAAACAGGUUUAAAAAUUCCUUGAAUUGAGGAUUUCUUGGGCAGAUUCAGUAUGUGAUGAUAGGACAUUUGAUUACUGUACUGGCAAUCCCAAAAAUUCAUGUCAUGACUCCUCACUAUUUAUUAGAUCAAAUGGAGAAUAACUUUUGAAAUAAAAUACUAAAUGGAAA